rnacentral:rRNA from 1 species
GACGAACGCUGGCGGCGUGCUUAACACAUGCAAGUCGAACGGAAAGGCCCUGCUUUUGUGGGGUGCUCGAGUGGCGAACGGGUGAGUAACACGUGAGUAACCUGCCCUUGACUUUGGGAUAACUUCAGGAAACUGGGGCUAAUACCGGAUAGGAGCUCCUGCUGCAUGGUGGGGGUUGGAAAGUUUCGGCGGUUGGGGAUGGACUCGCGGCUUAUCAGCUUGUUGGUGGGGUAGUGGCUUACCAAGGCUUUGACGGGUAGCCGGCCUGAGAGGGUGACCGGCCCCAUUGGGACUGAGAUACGGCCCAGACUCCUACGGGAGGCAGCAGUGGGGAAUAUUGCGCAAUGGGCGGAAGCCUGAUGCAGCAACGCCGCGUGCGCGAUGACGGCCUUCGGGUUGUAAACCGCUUUCGCCUGUGACGAAGCGUGAGUGACGGUAAUGGGUAAAGAAGCACCGGCUAACUACGUG